UAGUCAGGGCUCGAGGAUUCUGUGAGGAACUCGCACGGCUGCGGUAGUUGUGACCCCAAGAUGCGGGAAACGGGAGAACGAGGUGCAGGUGUCCUCAUUCGCUGCCGGGGACACUGCAAAGGCGCUAAGAGGGGAUGCACACAGGCCGAUGUGAUACACGUACUGUACGUACGGUAACACUUCUGACAUUAGAUAUGGAGUUUGCUUCCGGAUAACCAUCCAAGGGUCAGACAAUGAACACAACCUUUUUGUCCACUGAACUCACACGCCUGUGAGACCUGCCACACGUACAUGUGCCCUAGGAUAGGUUCCAGCUUACUUAUAAUUUUAAAGGAGAACUUCACUUUUUUUUCUUUUUUUUUUAAUCACUAUGAGAGACAAAAAGACAUACAGUAAAGGCUCAAAGUUUGGACACAUCUUCUCAUUCAAUGCGUUUUCUUUAUUUCCAUGAAUAUUUACAUUGUAGAUUGUCACUGAAGGCAUCAAAACUAUGACUGAACA